rnacentral:pre_miRNA from 1 species
GAGUGCGGGACUCUCUGAGGAUCUCAGCGAGUUUGAGAGUGAGAACGUAUCGGCAGGGUCUCGCUUGG